rnacentral:rRNA from 1 species
AACGCGAAGAACCUUACCUGGUCUUGACAUCCCGAGAACGUCUAUGAAAGUAGAAAAUGCCUCCAUUAGGAGGAACUUGGUGACAGGUGCUGCAUGGCUGUCGUCAGCUCGUGUCGUGAGAUGUUGGGUUAAGUCCCGCAACGAGCGCAACCCACGUCUUUAGUUGCCAUCAUUAAGUUGGGCACUCUAGAGAGACUGCCGGUGUCAAACCGGAGGAAGGUGUGGAUGACGUCAAGUCCUCAUGGCCUUUAUGACCAGGGCUACACACGUACUACAAUGGGCGGUACAAAGGGCAGCGAGUAUGCGAAUACAAGCUAAUCUCAUAAAACCGUUCUCAGUCCGGAUCGCAGUCUGCAACUCGACUGCGUGAAGUGGAAUCGCUAGUAAUC